AAAUGAAUAGACGGGGACUUGCACAAGCGGUGGAUCAUGUGGUUUAAUUCGACGAUAAACGAAGAACCUUACCAAGAUUAGAAACCCAGUUCAUGCUCUUGUAGAAAUACGAGAGAUACCGGGCUGGGCAGGUGUUGCAUGGCCGUCGUCAGUUCGUGGUUUGAAUUGUUCCCUUAAGUGGGGUAACGAACGAAACCCUCAUCGUGUGUUUUAUGUGUCACACGAGACUGCCCUUUUUACGGGGAGGAAGGAGAGGAUGACGCCAGGUCAGCAUGACCCUUGAUAUCUUGGGCUACACACGUGAUACAAUGGGUGGGACAACGGGUCGCGACGGAGUAAUCCUGAGCCAAUCCUUCAAACCCAUCCUCAGUUCGGAUUGAGGGCUGAAACUCGCCCUCAUGAAGUCGGAAUCGCUAGUAAUCGUGGGUCAGCUAUACCACGGUGAAUACGUUCUCAAGUCUUGUACACACCGCCCGU
rnacentral:rRNA from 1 species